ensembl:snRNA U2 U2 spliceosomal RNA
AUUGCUUCUGGCCUUUUGGCUAAAAUCGGGUGUAGUAUCUGUUCUUAUCAUUUCAAUAUCUCACAUGCGCUCUAUUCAAGGAUAUUACAUUAAAUGGAUUUUGGAGCAGGGAGUUGGAAUAAGAGCUUGCUCUGUCCACUCCAUGCAUUGACCUGGACCUGGAAUUGCAGCACCUCCAGGAAGGGUGCAUCCCUU